rnacentral:rRNA from 1 species
UACAGAGGGUGCUAGCGUUGUUCGGAAUCAUUGGGCGUAAAGGGCGCGUAGGCGGCUUGGUCAGUCCCGUGUGAAAUCCCUCGGCUCAACUGAGGAACUGCACGGGAAACUGCCUGGCUUGAGUUCGGGAGAGGGAAGCGGAAUUCCGGGUGUAGCGGUGAAAUGCGUAGAUAUCGGGAGGAACACCAGUGGCGAAGGCGACUUCCUGGCCUGUCCUUGACGCUGAGGCGCGAAAGCUAGGGUAGCAAACGGG